rnacentral:rRNA from 1 species
CUGGCUCAGGACGAACGCUGGCGGCAUGCCUAACACAUGCAAGUCGAACGAGGAUAGCAAGUAUCCGAGUGGCGAACGGGUGAGUAACACGUGAGCAACCUGCCUUACACAACGGGAUACCUACUGGAAACAGUAGUUAAUACGGUAUAAGACCACAGUACCGCAUGAUACAGUGGUAAAAGAUUUAUCGGUGUAAGAUGGGCUCGCGGCGCAUUAGCUAGUUGGAGAGGUAACGGCUCACCAAGGCGACGAUGCGUAGCCGACCUGAGAGGGUGAUCGGCCACAUUGGGACUGAGAUACGGCCCAGACUCCUACGGGAGGCAGCAGUGGGGAAUAUUGGGCAAUGGAGGAAACUCUUACCCAGCAAUUGGCCGCGUGAGUGAAGAAGGUCGUAAGAUUGUAAAGCUCUUUAGUCAGGGAAAAGAUAGUGAUUGAUCUGAAGAAUAAGCUCCGGCUAACUACGUGCCAGCAGCUGC